AGUUUACAGGUACAGGCCCAAACAAGUCUAGACCCAAGAAUUUAUGGCCCAGCAGGCCCGAAAAAUUAAAACCCUAACAGAAACCCUAAGGGCUUCUCCCACUUUGCGCCGCAGCAGUCCCAGCCUCCAUGUGCCUUCAACACCGUACGACCACGUCCGCGCCUCCGUACGCCUCACGCCAAGGGCCAGCGCAUGCCCCACACUCCGUACCUGCAAACAAAUAGGACGAACGCACAGCAAAAAGAAACAAAAACAAAGAAUAUUGUAUUUUUCUUUAUUUUAUUGCUAUCAUUUAAUCCCUUCGACUAUAAAGCCAAGGGAUUCGAUCAUUGUAAUUUUUUACGCGAUAUACACAUACAAAAACAUGCAAUAGAAGGCAAAAAAACAGAGAAAGUGCAUUUAGAAAAAUAAAAAAGGAAAAGGGAGGGGGCUUACCUUCGCAUACAAGCCAUCGGAGACCAUCUCUUCUUCGUCGAAAUCGAAGAUCGAAAUAGAUUCUCGGGGCUAAAAGAAAAAAUGACCUUCUGAGGCGAGGUUCAAAGAAGGAAAAGGGAGCGAUUCCGUGGCGAGCUACCUUCCAUCGGUUUCAAUGGUGGGACGGUGGCAGUUGAAAGGGCAAGAGAGGUUGGAAAAGCCACAAAGUUGCGGCGCCGAAACCCUAGCAAAUGGGUGUUCGGUUUUGUGGCUUGUAAAAUGGCUGAUUGAUUGCCAUUCUUUUUUUUUUUUUGAGAAUAAAAUGAAACGGCGCCUUUUUAAGGGGAAGGGUUCGCGCGUCAACCCGUUCCAGGACCCGAACCAGUGCCUUUGCGCUGCAAAUGGGUCAUUUGCAAUCUAAGUCCCUCCCCUUUCGCGCCGCAUUUAAAGCAGCUUAUAUUUGUGUUUCCUUUGUUUUUAAAUUUUCCCUGCAAUUUGUGCGUGUUUGCAUUUUAGUCCGUAUUUGUGUGCUGCGUUUUGAGGGCCUGGAAUAUUUCCAGCUUGAGUCCCUACACAAUCGCGCGCAUUACAUAUUGGCCGUAUAAACUAUUUCAUUUGUAAAUUAUCCUUAUUAUUUUAAUUUGAUUUCAAUUAGUUUUUUUUUUCU